CAUUUUUUAAUUCUUGAAAGUAUUAGAGUUUGAAUUUUGGUUUUAGAACUGUAAUUCCAUUAUAUUUUCAUUAAAAUUCUCAUAGGUUUCUUCCCUUGGUUCUGCUUUAGUAGGCAUCUCCUGUUUCUGUUCUGCUGGCCAUUUUUCUUUCCGAGACCCGUGAGUGAGUUUUAAUUUUCCUUGCCUAGUCAUGAUUGUGGUUACUCAGUACUUGCCAGCAUCCUUGGGUCGCAGCAAACCAAGUGGUGAAAGACACGAUGCUUUCAGUUCUCAUGGGCCUGAAACCUGUUACUCUGCUGAGUUGCUCUGAGAAACCAUACCAGUCCCACAUUUUUUUAGUCACAAGCAGCGGUUCUUUUCCAGCUGCAAAGAUGGAAACACUUCCCUUCACUGGCAAGCCCUCUUGGAGGUUUUCUGGGGUCAGCAAGUUAAUUGCAGCAGAAGACAAAGUCCCUUUUGCAGGGGGGACCACUUGGGAUGAUGGGUAGCAAUUUUAGUAAUGAAUUUUGUCUAUCUGCUGCUUGAGAUCUGCUCAUGAUUUUUACUUUUAGGUGAAAAAAAGUCAUGGUAUUAUGUGUGCAUAUGAUUCUUUUUGUAACCAAAACAAGCAUUUCUCUAUUUGUAUCUAAAAUUUCACAAAUGCAUGCACAUGGAGAAAGGUGUAGGAAAGACUAUAUGCCUUGACACAAGAAUGGAGAAAAUAGUAAUUUUUCUAUUCUAGUGAGAUUGUAUGUGUAUUUUAUUCUAAUCAGAUAAUAAAAUGUAAAGAAUGGAGGACAAGGCAUGCUAGAUGUUACAUAGUGGAAGAGUAGGGUUAGUGAGAGGUUAUGAUCUGAGAAUGAAAUGUUGGAGUUUGAUUUUCAGAGGUAGAGUAAUUUUGACUAAAAUGAAGAGAAGCCUGUUUGGGAUGGGAAGAGAUCAUGGAAGUCCGGGAAGCUGAAUAACAACCUACAAGCCUUGGAUGCUUAUGUCAUCUGGGAUGUGUAUGACUUCAUGGGAUGUAGAGUUAAAGAACAAAUUGGCUUAAAUGUGAACAGAAGAAUGAUAAGAAAUGAAGUUUUAAAAUUGAGGAGUUUCUGACUACACUUAAAUAAAACCCAGCAUCCUCAACAUGGUCCUCAAGGCCUGGCAUGUUUAACAAAAGUUAAGUCCUAGAUUCUCACAUCAUUAUGGAGCCUGUAAAAUCCUUCGAUAAUUAACUCUCUGCAAGAUGAAGACCCAAGGAAGCUGUUGGUGGGGUUUGAAGGCCCGAGAACCAAAGAUAUAUUUCCAACCUAUUCCCAGUGCUGGAAAGCCUGGGGUGCUUAGGGUAGAAGAUUGGUGUCCCCAUCCUUUUCUUUUGAGAAACUGAGUAUGUUCUCCUGUCUCUUGAGAGAGAACUGAUGCUAACUCCAGAUGCCUUUGGAUCUGAGAUGAUAUGUAGAACUGGGGUACAGGCCAGAGAUGCAGAGGGUGAGAGGAU